AUUGAACGCUGGCGGCACGCCUAACACAUGCAAGUCGAGCGGUAUCAUGGAUAGUAGCAAUACUAUCUGAUGACGAGCGGCGGACGGGUGAGGAAAACGUGGAAAUCUACCCUCAAGCGGGGGACAACCAAUGGAAACUUUGGCUAAUACCACAGAAUCGCGAGACAGCAAAGCUGCCGAAAGGUGGCACGUGAGGAGGAGCCUGCGUCCGAUUAGCUCGUGAGUGAGGUAAGAGCUCACCAAGGCGAUGAUCGGUAACUGGUCUGAGAGGACGACCAGUCACACUGGGACUGAGACACGGCCCAGACUCCUACGGGAGGCAGCAGUGGGGAAUCUUGGACAAUGGGCGAAAGCCUGAUCCAGCAAUGCCGCGUGCGUGAAGAAGGCCUUCGGGUUGUAAAGCGCUUUUGUCUGGGAGCAAAUCCUGGCCUCUAAUACAGGUCGGGAAUGAGAGUACCAGAAGAAUAAGGACCGGCUAACUACGUGCCAGCCGCCGCGGUAACAC
rnacentral:rRNA from 1 species